rfam:Triticum urartu cultivar G1812 contig1199506, whole genome shotgun sequence.
AAGCUACUCCCUCCGUUCAGAAUUAUUUGUCGCAGAAAUGGAUGUAUCUAGACGUAUUUUAGUUCUAGAUACAUCCAUUUCCAAGACAAGUAAUUCCGGACAGAGGGAGUACAAC